UACGGGGGGGGGUAAGCGUUGUUCGGAAUUACUGGGCGUAAAGGGCUCGUAGGCGGCCAACUAAGUCAGACGUGAAAUCCCUCAGCUUAACUGGGGAACUGCGUCUGAUACUGGAUGGCUUGGAUUCGGGAGAGGAAUGCGGAAUUCCAGGUGUAGCGGUGAAAUGCGUAGAUAUCUGGAGGAACACCAAUGGCGAAGGCAGCUCGCUGGGACGGUACUGACGCUGAGACGCGAAAGCCUGGGGGAGCGAACGGG
rnacentral:rRNA from 1 species